GCAACGUGCGUCCCAUGCCCUUCCCAGGCUGCGUCAGUCAAACACUAGCUCUCUUUCUCCCAAUUCCCACAGCCGUCGCGCCUGGCACACCUCCCUCCUCCACUCACCCCCGCACCCCACCUUUCCCCGCCGAGCCAGCCGCGCAUGGGCGCUCUUGGAUCGGGAGCUGCGACGAAGCUGGGGUUCGGGCACGUUGCACCGGAGGCUGCACUCCACCUCUUCCUCGUGGUGCGGCGGACAGCGGCUCUUGCGGUCAUGCGGCCAACGGUGGCCUCAGCGGGCUCUCCAUCCCCGCUCCUCAUUCGGCUCCUCUUCUCCAUGCCUCCGCCGCCUCCUCCUUUUCCCCGUCCCUCACGGCCACCUCGCCCCCUCCGCCUUCAGCACCUCCUCCUUCCCUUCCUCUCCUCCUUCCCUGCCUCCGGAUCUAGCCAGUUAACUCUGGAGGGGAGCCAACCUAUAGGUAAAGGGCGACGGCGGCGCUGCUCGAGCAGAUGAGAGGGAGAGAGAAGGACAUGGUGGCACAUGACAGGGGGCGUGCGGCGCGGCGGUGAGCGUCUUCGGGAUUGGCGGCGACCUGCGGGCAAAGGGUGACGACUGGGGUGCUUGAUUCGAUCCAGCGCCAUGAGCCUGUACUUGCUGGAGAGAGAGCAGAUGAGGGAAAGAGAGAAGGAGAGGAGGGAGAAAGGCAGAGGAAAGAGGAGAGGGAGUUGCAACGGCAGAUGGGAGAUGAACACGAUCUGGGGCCAGCCAUUCGCAUCUCUCCUCCUCUCCUGCUAUUUCGCUCGAGUGUUUCUCCUUCCCAAAUCUGGUUGUAUGAUCUGGCCCAUUAUUGCGUCUCCAUUCUGUUCGUUGCUUCGUCUCCGUUUUUCUCGUCAAGGACAAAUUAGGCCUCGGCCAAUGGUGGAGAAGACAGACUACAUGGACGAGCCGCUGGAGCACGUGUUCAUGGGAUGUUCACGCGCAAGAUGCAGAAGUUCACCGUAAGGAAGAAGAGCUGGCUGGUGAGGAUGAGGAGAAGGCAAGAUGCGAGGUGCUUGCACGCGCAGCAGCAGGAGGCCGUCCAUGAGGUGCUCCUCUGGAUUCUCCCUUCCGGCGUUGGGCCUAGGUGUUCAACGCUGCCCUCACCAUCCCCUUCUUCCAUUGGCUCAUCGGCCUGUCAGAGGUUAUUGAGGUGGAGGUCAAUGGUGUGAGGCGGAGAAGUGGAGUGCUUAUAAAGAAACACAGGUAUGUAUUAAUAUGAUGGAUGCUUCCAUUGCCAACUGAUGAAAUGCAUGUCUCGUGUUUGCGCAGCUGCUGCCUGGAUUCGCCGCUGCCGCCUCCAGUCGCUUCCUCCUGGGCAUCCCGUCUCUAGCAAGGUCCUCUAGCUAUAGUCAUGGAAAAGAUGGUUUUCGGAGCUAUAUCUUGGAAAAUAUUUCUUGUCAUUCCAUUAAAUUUCUGAGGUAACAAUUUUCCAUCGCUUCUAGACCAUAGUGCGUUCCAUAAAUAGCUUGCGUAUAGUAUUAUAAAUGUACUCUUUUCCUUUAUUUAGAUAAGGUAUUUUAAUGUGUCCUAUUCUCCAUAUGCAGUUAGUGUAUAAAAGCUGCUAAUUUUUGCCUUCUGUACUUCGUUAGAAAAUGCUGCUGAAGGUAAGAGUAGGACAAUGCUAGAUAUAACUGAUGCUAAUAUACUGCUGAAGGUAGGAAUAUGAUGGCAUGCCCAUAAUUUCAGGAUGAUUAAGAGGCUGGUUAAGGCCAGAAAUAAAUUGACCGGGUAACUAAAUUAAGAAGUACUAUCAACCUAUUCUCCUUUAGGCUAUCAUCUUUCUUCUGUUGGAAAUUAUCAUCUCCUUUAGGCUAUCCUCUUUCUUCUGUUGGAAAUUAUUGUCUCCUAUUCAUUCUGUGAACUUCCGCACAAAUGACACUUAGUUUUCAAGUUGUUCUUUCCAUUUUAUUUAAGGAGCUCCUUCAGUUAGUAUGCUUGAAUAUUACAAAUCUUUAAAUUUGCACUUUGUUCGUAUAUGUCCGACAUGCCUUAAAGUUCUUGCUAGAAGGUUAGAAAUGGAGGAGCUGGACAUGGAUGGCGAGAAGGCGGCCAAACCCGAGUUUGCCUACCCCUACUGCUAUGAGGACCAUGAGGUCGCCUCCUUGUGCGCGCAUGUAGAAGAGGAGCACCCAUUGGAGUGGAGAUAUAGUUUGCACAAUGUUCUAGUCCAGCAAAGUAUUUUUGAUGUGCAAAAGAGUAGGGUUUUUGGCAUGUCUUGUGGUAGAAAAUUAAUAUUGAUCUAUCAUCAUAUCUGCACACAUAAUCUAUUCUAUGAUUGUUUACCUCUUUAGUCUACUGUUGUUAGAUGCCGAACUUAUGCUAUUUUAUGCCAAGUAGUUAAAUU